rnacentral:pre_miRNA from 1 species
GGCUGCCCGGAACUCUUUCCCUGUUGCACUACUGUGGGAACUCGCGCUAGCAGUGCAAUAACGAAAGGGCAUCGGCCAGCU